rnacentral:rRNA from 1 species
AGUGAACGCUGGCGGUAGGCCUAACACAUGCAAGUCGAACGGCAGCACAGUAAGAGCUUGCUCUUACGGGUGGCGAGUGGCGGACGGGUGAGGAAUACAUCGGAAUCUACUUUUUCGUGGGGGAUAACGUAGGGAAACUUACGCUAAUACCUCAUACGACCUACGGGUGAAAGCAGGAGAUCUUCGGACCUUGCGCGAUUGAAUGAGCCGAUGUCGGAUUAGCUAGUUGGCGGGGUAAAGGCCCACCAAGGCGACGAUACGUAGCUGGUCUGAGAGGAUGAUCAGCCACACUGGAACUGAGACACGGUCCAGACUCCUACGGGAGGCAGCAGUGGGGAAUAUUGGACAAUGGGCGCAAGCCUGAUCCAGCCAUACCGCGUGGGUGAAGAAGGCCUUCGGGUUGUAAAGCCCUUUUGUUGGGAAAGAAAAGCAGCAGGUUAAUACCCCGAUGUUCUGACGGUACCCAAAGAAUAAGCACCGGCUAACUUCGUG